GACGAACGCUGGCGGCGUGCCUAAUACAUGCAAGUCGAGCGAAGUUUUUCUGGUGCUUGCACUAGAAAAACUUAGCGGCGAACGGGUGAGUAACACGUAAAGAACCUGCCUCAUAGACUGGGACAACUAUUGGAAACGAUAGCUAAUACCGGAUAACAGUAUUUCUCGCAUGAGAGAUAUUUAAAAGUUGGUUAUGCUAACACUAUGAGAUGGCUUUGCGGUGCAUUAGCUAGUUGGUGGGGUAAAGGCCCACCAAGGCGACGAUGCAUAGCCGACCUGAGAGGGGGAUCGGCAACACUGGGACUGAGACACGGCCCAGACUCCUACGGGAGGCAGCAGUAGGGAAUCUUCCGCAAUGGGCGAAAGCCUGACGGAGCAACGCCGCGUGAGUGAAGAAGGAUUUCGGUUCGUAAAGCUCUGUUGUUAGGGAAGAAUGGAUAUGUAGUAACUAUACAUGUAAGAGACGGUACCUAACCAGAAAGCCACGGCUAACUACGUG
rnacentral:rRNA from 1 species